AAAACCAAUCUCACUCUAAAUUGUUGUUUCGCCAUUCCCUUUUCCCUAACAGAUGUCGAGAAACUGCAAUUCCUAUUAAGAACACUUGACUGUUUACUCAGCACGAGAACGUCAGCCCCAGCCUGCAUCAAUCUAAAUGCGUUUCGAGACGUCAGGCCCCCGAAAAGUGCAGACGAUGGGGAAAACGAUUUUGCAGGUGAAACUCAGAAAGAUGAAGCAGCUUUCCAGAACCACAAAGCGAACCGAGGGCAACAUGAAGACGAAGACUCAGGUCUCUUUAUUCUUCUCAAAGUGAUCUUUCCAUUGUGUCGCGAGGCUGCUACUUGGCGAUCUUCAGAACAUUAGGACAAAGUAACUCACCAAUCAGGGGUUUACUGCCUUACCUGCCGGAUCUGUUAGCCUCCACAGACCUCAAUCCUACCCCCCAUAAGAUGGAUCACAGAAGGUUAGCAAAAUGGCUUAAAGAGUCUUUCUUUUUUCAGCAUCUCAGGGUCGGAUGACAAAAACAUGCUCAGAGCUGCAUUCCCCAAAGCAAGAGUCAUGUGGGCAGGCACACAGGCUGGGUGCAAAGGAAGGUCAAAGAAGUUUGGAAAAAUUCUGUUUUCAAUCGUUUCUUUGCAGCAGAUUUAGAAGGAUCAUGUGCCCUAUGUGAAUACCCUAGAGGGACAAGCUAUGAAUUAUUUCCCAACUUAUUUGUGUAGAGACUUUUUUUUUUUUUUUUUUUUGCAAAGAAUAUCUUGCAGUACUAACGAUCUGUGGAUAAUACUUCAAGUAAGGAUGCUUUAGACCACUGGUCAACAAAUUAUGGUCCACAGAUCAAAUAUGUCUUGCAAAUAAAGUUUUAUUGCUGCACAGACACAUUUGGAACGCAGAGACUAAGUGGCCCACAGAGUCAAUAUUUACUAUCUGGUUCUUUAGAAAAGAAGUGUGUAUCCCCUUUAGAGAAUAGUACUAUGGGCUCCUUGUACUUUAUAUUGUAACUUAGAGCCUCAGCAUUAGUUACCAUAAAUGUUGGAGACAGAACAUUUUCCCUCCUUCCUAACAGUACAAUGGAGUCUAUCCACUGAGAUGGUUGUUAUGGACACAUGCUUAGAGUUUUCACUUACAGUCCAUCUAAGCAUCCAUUCACAGAUGAUAUGGUUUGUCUAUGUCCCCACCCAAAUCUCAUCCUGAAUUGUAGCUCCCACAAUUCCCAUGUUUCAUGGGAGGGACCCAGUGGGAGGUAAUUGAAUCAUGGGAUGGGUCCUUCCCACACUGUUCUUGUCAUGGUGAAUUAGUCUCACAGGAUCUGAUGGUUUCAUAAAGGAGAGUUCCCCUACACACUCUCUUUCUCUUUGGCUGCUGCCAUCCAUGUAAGAUAUGACUUGCUCCUCCUUGCUUUCCACCAUGAUUGUGAGGCCUCCCCAGCCAUGUGGAAAUGUGAGUCC
rnacentral:lncRNA from 1 species